rnacentral:rRNA from 1 species
GCCUACGGGGGGCAGCAGUGGGGAAUAUUGGGCAAUGGGCGCAAGCCUGACCCAGCAACGCCGCGUGAAGGAAGAAGGCUUUCGGGUUGUAAACUUCUUUUCUUAGGGACGAAGAAAGUGACGGUACCUAAGGAAUAAGCCACGGCUAACUACGUGCCAGCAGCCGCGGUAAUACGUAGGAUGCGAGCGUUAUCCGGAUUUAUUGGGUUUAAAGGGUGCGCAGGCGGUCUGUUAAGUCAGCGGUCAAAGCCCGGGGCUCAACCCUGGCCCGCCGUUGAAACUGGCAGGCUCGAGUUGGAGAGAAG